UGGGAAAGUAAAUUGAUCAAGGUUAUUUAUAUAAGGUAACUGCAAGGUUUGGAUCUGCGGACCUCAGACUCUGUUUGGAUCUGCAUUAUGUAUUCCACUGAGCCAUCAGGCAACCUGAAGGUUUAAAUAAUUCUGUUGGUAAUCCUGAAGCUGUACAGAUUCCAGCAUCUGCAAUAAUUUGCUCCUACCAGACCCUGUCAGCCUGGGCCACGAUUGCCACCCAGGUCAAUGCAGUUUCCAUGGUUUGUUGAAAUGCCUUGUAGUGCCAAGAAAGUUCCCAGACCUUCUCUAGUUCACCAGGGAGAAAAUAACAAGCUGGGAUAGGUAGUAGGGUGUCUGACAUCCGACCUCUCAUCCCCUACGAGGAGAGGAUCUUGAUCCUUACCAGGACGGCAUAAUCUGGUUCUGUGGAAAUGCUGAAAUGUCCACGAUCUAGCAAACAGUACCAAUUAGAUGUUGACAUCCAUGAUCAAGCAGAUGGUACCUCAACACAAGAAUAUCUGAGGAAGACAGCACGGGCUUCUGAGGAGGUACCAGCUAGUCUACGUCUUGCACUACCCACCAGCUCAGAUACUGACACAUCGGCAGGACGGUUAGCUAGAUUAGAGUCCGGAGCACCUCCUGGUGAGCAAACCCUCUGCAGUUGGUUGAGGAAAAAAUGCCCGAAGUCUCUGGCACUUGGAGGACUACCAGAGACCAGGCACCUGUCCAGCUUCAGGCACCAAAGGACCCCAUGGUGUUAGCAAUUCGUGACUUCAUACAAAUGCACGAGCUAGCACUGCGCAACUUGACACACACAGGUUAGAAGGCUACAGCACCACGGCUGGGACCCUUUAGCCAAAAGAACACUGCUGACAUCUUGUAACCAUGACGGGUACUGACAUGUUCUAUUCACAAUGCACAAAGUCCCUGAGGUAUGGAUCAAUUUUAUUGAUCUCAGGAGA